GACGAACGCUGGCGGCGUGCUUAACACAUGCAAGUCGAACGGAAAGGCCCUGCUUUUGUGGGGUGCUCGAGUGGCGAACGGGUGAGUAACACGUGAGUAACCUGCCCUUGACUUUGGGAUAACUUCAGGAAACUGGGGCUAAUACCGGAUAGGAGCUCCUGCUGCAUGGUGGGGGUUGGAAAGUUUCGGCGGUUGGGGAUGGACUCGCGGCUUAUCAGCUUGUUGGUGGGGUAGUGGCUUACCAAGGCUUUGACGGGUAGCCGGCCUGAGAGGGUGACCGGCCACAUUGGGACUGAGAUACGGCCCAGACUCCUACGGGAGGCAGCGGUGGGGAAUAUUGCACAAUGGGCGGAAGCCUGAUGCAGCAACGCCGCGUGCGGGAUGACGGCCUUCGGGUUGUAAACCGCUUUCGCCUGUGACAAAGCGUGAGUGACGGUAAUGGGUAAAGAAGCACCGGCUAACUACGUG
rnacentral:rRNA from 1 species